CAUAAUUAAAUGUCCAAGUAUUAUUCAAGAUCCCCAUUACAAAUGGGUUGUGUGACAGUUUUUAUUUGUAUUACUCAAGCUGCCACUUUCCAUUACUGAGAGCCUGUAGGAGCGAGAGCCUGUUCCUUUGUGGUCGACCACAGAAUCCGCUGGAUUCUCUGUGCUUGAAUAAGUUCCUUGAUGCUGCUAAUCUCGAAGUCUUUUCUCUGUGACAGACUUGGUUGACUUCACAGCAUCAACUAAUGAGUAGUUGUCAGUGACACAAACUACAGGUAGAAAGUGCCAUUUUGUCCCACCAGUGUUAACCUAGCGAAGCAUCACUGAAGACAACUAGUUUCAAAGAGUCAUCUUUUCCAACAUGCUGAAACUUUAAAGUCACUUGUUGUGAUUUCAGUUUACGAACAACUUUGUUUGCCUCAUGAAUGGUUUGUUCAGUGUUUUGUGUUAGAUGCCAAGUUGCAACCAUCAAACCAGGUCUACUCUGUCUCGCAGCCCAUAAAAUUUGUCCUAUCUUUGACCUCAAUUGACCAGCUUCAAU